GACUCCGAGACGGGGGACGCCGCUUCUCUUGGCUUCCUCCGCAUCCUGUCACGUUUUCCUCGCCAUGGCUCGAGGAGCGGCAACGGGGCUGGCAGAGCGGCGCCGGUGACUCGGAGCUGGAGGUGCUCUGUGCGGUGUCACCCUCCCCCGAGCUCGUCGUUUGCCUUACCGCGCUGUCAGCUCCGUAGCCAUGGCUUGGCAUCGCUCCACCUCUGGGGGGGAGCUGGCAGCAUCACUUCUACCUCCAGCGUGGGACCAUGUGGCUGCUGCAGCGGCUGCUGCAGGCAGACCGAGAUCGGAGCCGAUGCGGUGUCAUGAUGGACUUGAUGAGCAGAUGAGGUGCGCAAGGCUGACGGAUGCCGAAACCCGAAGAUGAUUUAGCAAAAUGCGAUCGAGUCUGGGAGAGAACAUUGAAAAACUAACUGGUAUUGCCUCAUUUUGUGCUGACCCCUACACUAUGAACAUACUGUUUUUGCUGUCACCUCAGACCAGUGGUGAAUAGAAGACUGGCCACUGAACUGCAUUUCUCUCUAAAAAGCAGCUUUAAAAUAACCAUCCAGAUGGCAGACUAGCAAGCAGUGGUGAUGGCCUGCAUUUUGGAAUUUUAACGUCAGCACCAUUGUAAUCUGUAGACAGCUGUGGCUAAAAGUGGAAGUGAAACUUCUCUGUACAUGAUAAACCAAAAAACUAGGAAUGGGCUCUCCAUAUUUUAAGUGGCUGAGAUUUCAAGAGGUAGUACUGUUCCUCCAUCUGAAACACAAGUUGGCCCAAACACAACCCUCUGUAGGAAUAGGAUUCUGGUUUCCUCCCUCCUUCAAAACGUGGGAAUUCAUCUGGAGUAGGAAGCAAACCCUUCCGAGCUCCUGAGCAGUAAGAGAAGCAGGGGACAGGAGUGAGAAGAGACAUUGUACUCAUGAAAAUAAUGUCAUCUGCUCAAGAAAUGCCUUUCCUUCCUCAUGCUUGUAUUUCUGUGUGGAAGAACAUUCCCCUUACCUCUUGGAGCACCUCGACCUCGCCCCCGAGCACCAUGGUCCCUUCCUCUGGAAUUUUCAUCUGGAGAGUCAAAAGCAUCAUCUGGCCCAAAAUCUUCAGGGCCAGGAAAGCCAUCUCUGCCCCUGGGUCCCCGGCCCUCAUGUCUCGAGGGUCCUCCUCUCCGGAAGCUACAAGAAAGAACAUGAUACAAAUGUGGUUUUUAGGCAUCACUGAGUCAGCUUCAGUUCAAUUAUCAACUAAUUUCUAAACUGUUUCACUUAAUGCUACAGCACAUACAGUUACUAGAACAGGAUUUGUAGGUGGGAAAGUGCUCAUUUCUGCCUUUGAGCACUUUGAUAGUAAGCUUUGUAAGUUUCCUCUCAUAUUUCCUUCCACUGAUUAUGUUGGCAUUUCAUACAAGACAAAUAUUAUUAAACAUACUGCAUUCAUUUAAUGAAAAGGUCGGAAAAACAACCGAUGAGUGAUGAUAGAUACAAGGUGAGGUAAGGCAAGGCAAAGUAUAAGUGAAUUCCCCUUAAUUCUGAUGGUUUUACAUUCCCUUUCUUUCCAUUUCUGUGAUAAAACAGACUGAAAACA